rnacentral:rRNA from 1 species
CCUACGGGUGGCAGCAGUGGGGAAUAUUGGACAAUGGGGGGAACCCUGAUCCAGCCAUGCCGCGUGUGUGAAGAAGGCCCUCGGGUUGUAAAGCACUUUCAGUGAGGAAGAACGCCUGGUGGUUAAUACCCAUCAGGAAAGACAUCACUCACAGAAGAAGCACCGGCUAACUCCGUGCCAGCAGCCGCGGUAAUACGGAGGGUGCGAGCGUUAAUCGGAAUUACUGGGCGUAAAGCGCGCGUAGGUGGCUUGAUAAGCCGGUUGUGAAAGCCCCGGGCUCAACCUGGGAACGGCAUCCGGAACUGUCAAGCUAGAGUGCAGGAGAGGAAGGUAGAAUUCCCGGUGUAGCGGUGAAAUGCGUAGAGAUCGGGAGGAAUACCAGUGGCGAAGGCGGCCUUCUGGACUGACACUGACACUGAGGUGCGAAAGCGUGGGUAGCAAACAGGAUUAGAUACCCGAGUAGUC